GGUGUAGUACGUUAAAGAGUAAACGGGUAGUCUGCAAAAUUGCGAAUAGGUUAGGUUCCUCUCUCCCG
rnacentral:tRNA from 1 species